CGACCGGCGCACGGGUGAGUAACGCGUAUGCAACUUACCUAUCAGGAGGGGACUAACCCGGCGAAAGUCGGACUAAUACCGCAUGAAGCAGGGGCCCCGCAUGGGGAUAUUUGCUAAAGAUUCAUCGCUGAUAGAUAGGCAUGCGUUCCAUUAGGCAGUUGGCGGGGUAACGGCCCACCAAACCGACGAUGGAUAGGGGUUCUGAGAGGAAGGUCCCCCACAUUGGUACUGAGACACGGACCAAACUCCUACGGAAGGCAGCAG
rnacentral:rRNA from 1 species